AUUAUGAAAUCAAAUUCCAAAAAUCGUUCAGCGUAUAUAUAUAUUUUCCUACUUGUAGCUGGUAGUGCAUCAGGUCAAGUUCAGCUUCACGCACACUGCAGUGUUUUGGGUCGGAUUAAUCACGAAAACCGCCUCAUGUAUAAAAGAUUCUACUUUGCGCCAGACAUGACCUUCCCUCCGUAAGCUUCGUUUUUUUAUUUAUUUCGCUUACUAUUCUAGAGUAUCGAUAGAGUUCCAUUAUUUCUUUGUUUUUUUAUAUUUUCUACUCCAAGCAAGGGCCGAAUAUUUACCUAUAGACUUUUCGCUCGAAUACUAGAAAGUUAUUUAUC